ACCCUGCUGGGGACGGGGCUAGGGGGGCACCCAGUGUUGAUCCCCUCCCCCCUUUACAGACAGCAUUCGCAAGGUCCUCAGCCGCCCGCCCAACCCUCUGCUGCUGAAGGUGAAGCUUGAAACCAAGCCCAAGAAGUUUGAGGAUCGUGUGUUGGUGUGACGGCCUGGCGGCUCCACGUCUUCGGGCUGAAAGUGCGGCCAAGGUGAAAGCUCCUCAAUGCUUGGAAAUUCG